rnacentral:rRNA from 1 species
GACGAACGCUGGCGGCGGGCUUAACACAUGCAAGUCGAACGGAAAGGCCCUGCUUGCGUGGGGUUCCCGAGUGGCGAACGGGUGAGUAACACGUGAGUAUCCUGCCCUUGACUUUGGGAUAACUUCAGGAAAGUGGGGCUAAUACCGGAUAGGAGAUGCUGCAGCAGGGGGGGGGUGGGAAAUUUUCGGCGGGUGGGGAUGGACUCGCGGCUUACGAGUUUGUUGGUGGGGUAGUGGCUUACCCAGGCAUUGGCGGGUCGCCGGCCCGGGAGGGUGGCCGGCGACCAGGGGCCUACGGGACGCACCAGUCGGGAACGUUGGGCAGUAGUGGGAAGUAUUGUCCAAUGAGCGGGAGUGUGUGACGGAGGCGUUGCGUUUGGAAUGACGGUUUUCGGGGUGUAAACCGCAUUAGGUUGAGACGAAGCUGUUGUGACGGUACCGGGUGAAUAAGCACCGGCUAACUACGUG